UACGUAGGGGGCAAGCGUUGUCCGGAUUUAUUGGGCGUAAAGAGCGUGUAGGCGGCUUGGUAGGUCCGCUGUGAAAACUCGAGGCUCAACCUCGAGAUGUCGGCGGAAACCACUUGGCUAGAGUCCGGAAGAGGAGAGUGGAAUUCCCGGUGUAGCGGUGAAAUGCGCAGAUAUCGGGAAGAACACCCGUGGCGAAAGCGGCUCUCUGGAACGGUACUGACGCUGAGACGCGAAAGCGUGGGGAGCGAACAGG
rnacentral:rRNA from 1 species